rnacentral:misc_RNA from 1 species
AACAUCGCGCACCUGCGGGAACCUGCGGAAGGAUCAUUACCGAGUUAUACAACUCAUCAACCCUGUGAACAUACCUAAAACGUUGCCUCGGCGGGAACAGACGGCCCCGUAACACGGGCCGCCCCCGCCAGAGGACCCCCUAACUCUGUUUCUAUAAUGUCUUUUCUGAGUAAACAAGCAAAUAAAUCAAAACUUUCAACAAUGGAUCU